GCCAAUGCUAAGAUAAUGCUCGUCCGUGCGCUCGGGCUCGCGCGCUCCGCCCGCGCUGCUCGUUCUCGAAUCCCCGAACUCCAAGAAUGCUCGUCUUCUGUACAAGCUCGCCUGCGCGCGCACACGCGCGCCGCGCUUCCCCGCACACCAGUGAAUAUUUGAUGAGGAAAUGAAGAUACCUGCUUUCUCUUCACCUUUCCUGGGAUUGUUAGAAAAUGAUACAGGUAAGAGCGGUGAAUUAGCAGUGAGGGAAAAUGGAGUCACAGGCAGCAGCAAAGGGCUU
rnacentral:lncRNA from 1 species